rnacentral:rRNA from 1 species
CCCGAGGAAAAGAAAUCAACCGAGAUUCCCCCAGUAGCGGCGAGCGAACGGGGAGGAGCCCAGAGCCUGAAUCAGUGUGUGUGUUAGUGGAAGCGUCUGGAAAGGCGCGCGAUACAGGGUGACAGCCCCGUACACAAAAAUGCACAUACUGUGAGCUCGAUGAGUAGGGCGGGACACGUGGUAUCCUGUCUGAAUAUGGGGGGACCAUCCUCCAAGGCUAAAUACUCCUGACUGACCGAUAGUGAACCAGUACCGUGAGGGAAAGGCGAAAAGAACCCCGGCGAGGGGAGUGAAAAAGAACCUGAAACCGUGUACGUACAAGCAGUGGGAGCCUCUUAAUGGGGUGACUGCGUACCUUUUGUAUAAUGGGUCAGCGACUUAUAUUCUGUAGCAAGGUUAACCGAAUAGGGGAGCCGAAGGGAAACCGAGUCUUAACUGGGCGUUAAGUUGCAGGGUAUAGACCCGAAACCCGGUGAUCUAGCCAUGGGCAGGUUGAAGGUUGGGUAACACUAACUGGAGGACCGAACCGACUAAUGUUGAAAAAUUAGCGGAUGACUUGUGGCUGGGGGUGAAAGGCCAAUCAAACCGGGAGAUAGCUGGUUCUCCCCGAAAGCUAUUUAGGUAGCGCCUCGUGAAUUCAUCUCCGGGGGUAGAGCACUGUUUCGGCAAGGGGGUCAUCCCGACUUACCAACCCGAUGCAAACUGCGAAUACCGGAGAAUGUUAUCACGGGAGACACACGGCGGGUGCUAACGUCCGUCGUGAAGAGGGAAACAACCCAGACCGCCAGCUAAGGUCCCAAAGUCAUGGUUAAGUGGGAAACGAUGUGGGAAGGCCCAGACAGCCAGGAUGUUGGCUUAGAAGCAGCCAUCAUUUAAAGAAAGCGUAAUAGCUCACUGGUCGAGUCGGCCUGCGCGGAAGAUGUAACGGGGCUAAACCAUGCACCGAAGCUGCGGCAGCGACACUAUGUGUUGUUGGGUAGGGGAGCG